CAAAAAAGACAGUCUCAGUUCGGAUUGAAGGCUGAAAUUCGCCUUCAUGAAGCCGGAAUUGCUAGUAAUGGCAGGUCAGCAUACUGCCGUGAAUACGUUCCCGGGCCUUGUACACACCGCCCGUCACACCAUGAGAGUUGGGGAUACCCGAAGCCUGUGAGCUAACAGUAAUGAAGCAGCAGUCGAAGGUAGAAUCAAUGAUUGGGGUGAAGUCGUAACAAGGUAUC
rnacentral:rRNA from 1 species